CGAGUGUUUGAGAGUGUGUGUGUGUGUGUGUGUGCGUGCGUGUGACCAGCGUCUGAGCGCUCUCUCACAGCCUGCGCGCGGAGCAGGAGACUCGGAUCGCGCUCCACCAGCCGCCUCUCGCAGCUCUCAUUUGAGCGUGCGGCUCGCAACACACACACACACACACUUUCUCUCUCUCCUUCUCUUUUUCUCCUGCAUUCGGACUCUCUAGCAGAAAGAGGAUUUAACACACGCGGCCAGCAACGGAGGAGCUAAACGCAAAGCCAGGAAGGGUCAAAGUAACCUACCUUUUGAGGAACGACACACAAUCCCAGUCCCCGAAGAUGUUUCUCCUAGCUGCUCCCGCAGACAGGAAUCCGCUCGCAGAGACGAGAUCCACGCUCUCCCCCAGGAGACGAGUACAAAGGCCAGUCUGCACGCGGCAGAUGAAAAAACCAAGUCCAUCUGCUGUAGGCUUCCCAUUGCCACAUGGAGAUUGAAAAGGCUUUGGACUGCAAGGUCAAUGAGGACAAACAAUUCCAGCAGCGGCUCUCCAGCACAUGCAGAAGAAAGUGUAGGGCGAGGGGGGGAUGGACUCGUGCGCUGGCAGAGCUGGUGUCUCCGAGCGCUGGCAUAAUUUCCAUGGCAACCCCUCUAACUAUUAAUUUUCAAUUAAAGCAGACACAAAACGCCCUGCCCCGAGCUUGAGGAAGGUGUCAAGAGCGCAGAGCGGGAAACUGGGCCUUUCUGGAGCCACUCAGAGCCACUGGGCUCCUUCCUAGUGACACAAAUCACACUGUAUUUAUUUCACAAAUCACCCCAGUGAUACACCAAAAUCACAACUGAACACAUGCAUGCUAAAUAUCAGCCAUAUUAGAAUUUUGGGGGGGAUUAUAACCCCUUUUAUGUCCCUUGGUGGUUUAGCAGAGGUGUUACCUCCCCCUUGUGUCGGCUUUAAAAUCUGACAGGAUACUCAGCUGUCAAUAAAAACUGUUUUAAGGAA